rnacentral:rRNA from 1 species
GACGAACGCUGGCGGCGUGCCUAAUACAUGCAAGUAGGACGCAGUUGCGAACGGGUGAGUGACGCGUAGGUAACUACCUGGUAGAGGGGGAUAACUAUUGGAAACGAUAGCGAAUACCGCAUACUAGUAAUUGGCUCUUCGUUGUAUUAGCUUGUAGGUAGGGUAAUGGCCUACCUAGGCAACGAUACAUAGCCGAACGGAGAGGGAGAUCGGCCACACUGGGACUGAGAAACGGCCCAGACUCACUCGGGAGGCAGCAGUAGGGAAUCUUCGGUAAUGGGGGGAAAAUUGACCGAGCAACGCGGAGUGAGUGAAGAAGGAUUUCGGAUCGUAAAGCUCUGUUGUUAAGGAAGCGGUACUUAACCAGAAAGGGACGGCUAACUACGUGCCAGCAGCCGCGGUAAUAC